ACAAACUUCUCUUCUCUGCUCUAGUUUUUUUCUUCGUUCCUCUUCUUCACAGAACCAAACCACCUCCAUGAUUCAUAAUCUGUUAACAAAUCAAAUCAUGAUACUACACCAGUAAAAUAAAAUCUUCUUCUCCUCAUUCCCUUUCUAUUCUUCUCUGCUUAUUCCUCUAACCCUAAUCCCUAAUCUUCGAUUCACCCCCUAUUUUCAGACGAAACAAGAACCAAAUUGAUCAUUUUAUAAGGGUUUAGUAAAAUGAGUUUGCGUGAUUUAUUUGAUUCAAUUAUGGAAGAUUCUCAAUCAACACAAGCUUCUACUUCUUCAACCGUUACAACACAAGUCGUUAAGAAGCACAAAACUACUUCUUCCAUAUGGGAUUACUUUGUAAAAGAGAAACCACCUUCAAUAAUGUCAUAUGAAACUUAGGGCUAAUGUGAAGAAGUGCGGAACCUCUUACUUGUAUGCCCAUGUAAAGAGGUGUAGUCGGCGUCGUGUUAAAUAAGCUUCUACAUGUACUGGAUCUAGUUUCGAAUGUUUAUGUUUUUAUCCUUCA